AUGCUCAACAUUGGGGCUGUGCUGCUGUUACUAAUUGGUGUGACGGAUGGUGUGAAGACCUUCUGCAACGCCACACAGCCACACAUCACGACCCAGUGCUUUGGCUCUCUGGGAGGAACCGUGGAGGUCCUGCUCGUGCUGCCUACUCAGUCCUCACAAAAUGAUACCUUCAGACUGAAGAACAACAAUGUCACGAUUUUAUCAGAACGCAAUCAGACAAACAUUCGAUAUUCAUUUAAUGUCAGUACUGGAAUAUUUACUAUAAAGGACAUCGACAGGACAGACAAUGAUGAAUACUCAAUGGAAGUACAUAAUGCAUCUGGAAACCAAGUAGCAUUUACGAAAUGUUAUUUAACCAUUGAAGCCCCGGCCUCCUCUCCCCUCCUGUCCCGGCAGUGUCUGUCCCGGGGACAGCAGAGGGUGUCCUGCUCUGCCGGGGGGGACGGACUCCACUACAGCUGGAGUCCAGACGGACUCCCGCUGAACGACACGCGUGUCCACUCCGGACCCGGUAACGCUAGUGACGUCACUCUGGAGGUGGGCUGGGCGGGACUGGUCACCUGCUCGGUCAGCAACAACGUGAGCCACGCCGCGGCUAACAUCACCUUGUCUGUGUGUGACGAGCUCGUCCCUAUAAUAGCUGGUUCCCUGUCAGCGAUAGCACUGCUCCUGAUAGUAGUAUUGGGAGUCUACUGCGCAAAAAAGCACAAAACCUCAAAAGACACCACAGAGGCGGAGGAUGUAACCUACGCAGACAUCUCUGUGCUCCAGCGUCAGGGGCAGCGGAGAGAGCAGGGGGCGGG
rnacentral:lncRNA from 1 species